rnacentral:rRNA from 1 species
CAGUCGCGCGGUAAUACGAAGGGGGCUAGCGUUGCUCGGAAUGACUGGGCGUAAAGGGCGCGUAGGCGGCUUGUACAGUCAGAUGUGAAAUCCCCGGGCUUAACCUGGGAACUGCAUUUGUGACUGGCGGGCUAGAGUAUGGCAGAGGGGGGUAGAAUUCCACGUGUAGCAGUGAAAUGCGUAGAUAUGUGGAGGAAUACCGAUGGCGAAGGCAGCCCCCUGGGAUAACACUGACGCUCAUGCACGAAAGCGUGGGGAGCAAACAGGAUUAGAUACCCCCGUAGUCCCUGUCUCUUAUACA